AGAUCGAAUCAUUUUUUUAUUAUUUUCUGUCACGCUUAUCUGGUUGUUUGUCUCAGUGUAUUACCCAUGAUGACCCACUGCUUUCAUCGCGCAGCGAGACGAAGCUUGAGCCUUGAACCCGGUCCCCCCGCGGGCGCCAGACUGAGACGUCUGGCUUGGCAUUUCAAUCAAUUUGGCGGGACGGGUUGAUUUCAGUCUAUGAUUUGUGAUAUGGUGUGAUAUUUGUGAUAUAUUUGUGAUAUGAUUUGUGAUGGUGUGAUAUAACGGGCGACAAUUUUGUGGGUUCAAUGGAGAUACGAAAUGCGAAUGUGUUCCCUCAUGGCUAUUUUAAUUUCACCCUGUGAUUUUCCAGCCUCCAGGUGAAGCGAAAGUCGAACAGGACCGAUCCGCGACGGGCGACGGAUAGGGCGGAUAGGGUUCAUGUUGGACCGCCGCGGUGGACCGAGGGCCGGCCGUGCGCUUUUAUGGAUUCUCCGUACUCCGCCACCCCGCCGACGGUCGUCGAUCGUCGGUGCCGUUGCGGCGGCGCGUCGCCUAUUUGUAGGACGCUGGACGGCGGUGCGCGCGCAGGCAGCGCCGCACGUGGGCCGGCCGGCCGGGGCUGACGUAAGGCGAAGCUCAGUCACCGUGGACCGGCCCGCCGCGCCGGGUGAAUAGUGGCCGCCGCAGCAGCUGCAGCUCGGAGCUCCGCUGCCCGCCGCCGACUGCCCCAGGUCACAGCGCCCCACCGCCCCGGCCGCCGCCAUGGAACAGGAGAUGGAUCGUCGGCCGAGCGACUCGUCCGGCGGGAGCCACGUCAAGCUGCGGAAGGAGCUCGGGCUGGUAGAGGGCGUGGCCGUCAUCCUGGGCAUCAUCAUCGGAUCAGGUAUCUUCAUCUCGCCGGUGGGCGUGCUGCAGGAGUGCGGCUCCGUCGGUAUGUCGCUGGUCGUCUGGACACUGUGCGGAGUGCUCUCCAUGAUCGGCGCCCUCUGCUACGCCGAGCUGGGCACCACGAUUCCUAAAUCGGGCGGCGACUACGCCUACAUUCUGGAGGCGUUCGGCCCGUUGCCGGCCUUCCUCUUCCUCUGGGACGCCAACCUGAUCUUCGUGCCGACCACCAACGCCAUCAUGGGUCUGACGUUCGGUAACUACGUGCUGCAGCCGUUCUUUCCCAACUGUGACGUCAACUCGGCGUCGGUCCGCCUGCUCGCCGCUGCUGCCAUCUGCAUCCUGACGUUCGUCAACUGCUACAAUGUCAAGGUGACGGCGCGCCUGCAGAACGUCUUUAUGGUGACCAAGGUGUCGGCGCUGCUUCUCGUCAUCAUAGUCGGACUCGUCGUGCUCUGCAUGGGUAAGGGCCAGAGCUUUGACAACGCGUUUGUCGGCAUGAAGACGGACCCGGGCCAGAUCGCCGUGUCGUUCUACUCGGGCAUCUUCUCCUACGCCGGAUGGAACUACCUGAAUUUUAUGACUGAGGAGCUGCGCGACCCGUACCGGAACCUGCCGCGCUCCAUCUAUCUGAGCCUGCCGCUGGUCACCUGCAUCUACGUGCUCGCCAACGUCUCCUACCUGAUGGUGCUCUCGCCGGCCGAGAUGCUCGCGUCAGACGCCAUCGCCGUGACAUUCGCAAACAAGACUCUGGGUGUGAUGGCGUGGAUCAUGCCGCUGUUCGUGGCGUUCUCGGCGUUCGGCGGGCUCAGCGUGCACAUCAUGACCUCCUCCAGGUUGUGUUUCGUUGGCGCACGGAAUGGUCACUUCCCCGGCUCGCUGGCACUCAUAGGCCAGAGCUACGUGACGCCAAUGCCGGCUCUGGUUUUCUUGGCUGUGCUUCAUCGGCGCGCGGCACGGUCACUUCCCGAUGGCACUCUGCAGCGUCCAGAUGCAGCACUACACGCCGGCGCCGGCGCUCGCCUACCUCGGCCUGCUGUCACUGGUGUACCUGUGCACCAGUGACAUCUUCGCGCUCAUCAACUACGCCAGCUUCAUCGAGUCUUCGUUCAUCCUGUGCUCGAUAUGCGGCCUGCUCUACCUGAGGUGGAAGGAUCCGCACCGGGAGCGGCCCAUCAAGGUGAACAUCCUCGUACCGGUGGUGUUCCUGCUCAUCUGCGGCUUCCUCGUCUUCAUGCCGCUCUACGUGAAGCCCGUGGAAGUCGGCAUGGGCAUCCUCAUCACGUUCACCGGCGUGCCCGCCUACCUGGUGUUCGUCUACUGGAAGAAAAAGCCGGCGUGGGCGCUCCGGGCCAUUGCCCGGUUCAACGUGUUCACCCAGAAGCUGUUCCUGGCCGUGAAGGAGGAGUAGACGACCGGCCGGUCCGCGGGCCCGUUCCACACUGACCGUCUCUGGUCCACCCAGCGCCGGAGACGGGCGGGCGGCAGCAGGCUGACUCUCAGCUGGUGAGCGGGCCCGGUGACAACUUCGGCUGGUCCCAGAAAAAGGGGGCGACCACUGUGAUGGACCGGAGUGUGGCACCAGCGGAUAUGCGGCCUGCUAUACCAGCGAUGGAUAUACAGAGCAUGGAGAGACGACGGGAAACCCCGGGUCGCGCUCGGGCUCAUGUAACGGUCGGUACUCGGUCUCACGACUGGACACGAUGGUGAAGGUCCGAGACGAGGCCGUAGUGACAUCUGCUGGCGAACUGAGCCUGCAUGUGACGGCGAUGGAACAUGUCGGCUUCGCAGGGUAGCCAAGCGGUCAUUGAGCGGCAAUGCCAGCGGAUGGCUCGGUACCGUGAGUCAAAGCCUUGUUUCCAAGCUGGAGUGCCAGGGUCUAUGUCGUAUCCCGCCGACAGCUCGCGGCGGCCAGCACUCAGUGCUGUGUUCAUCCAAGUCGACCGGUCGCUGGGCACACGGCUGGACUCAGUGGAUGGGGAGCGGUAGAGACACGGGCGACCAGUGGACGUUUUGUACAGCUGUGUGAGUGCUGCGCGUCAUGGGCGUGAUGCGUGUGUCAGUGAGCGGAACUGCUGAGUGUGCACGUUUUGUUUUUAGAACGAUGUGCGUGAGCGAAUUGACUGGGCUACAUGUGGAUGGAAAUAGCCGUCUAUUUAUCUCCGUCUAUUUUGGUGGACAUGAGUUGAUGGUCUUUAUGUACAGAGGGGCAUUAUCCAUGACUAACGACGGCAUUGUUCGUCCGAUGAGAAUUUGUCUCGGCGGUGUAGCGAUUGGCUCAGUUUGUGAUUACGCGGCUGCGGUAUCUCUGACUGAUGCUGGGGCAGCUCUGGCAGGGGCUGCGACAGCGCUCGCCGAGGCUCGGCGGCGUAUCACUGGCUCAGUUUGUGAUCAGGUGGCUGAUGUGCCCCGGGACGAUGCCGGGGCAGCUCUGGCAGACGCUGCGGUAUCUCGGACUGGCGCUGUAGCAGUUCAGACCGAGACUAGGCGCGGCCUGACAAGCAGCGACGCGCCUGUUUGUGUUGUUCCUGGCUACUUCUGGGACGUCCGCCUUCGGCAAUACAUAUGACAUUGACAA
rnacentral:misc_RNA from 1 species